UACGUAGGGUGCAAGCGUUAAUCGGAAUUACUGGGCGUAAAGCGUGCGCAGGCGGUUAUGUAAGACAGAUGUGAAAUGCCCGGGCUUAACCUGGGAACUGCAUUUGUGACUGCAUGGCUAGAGUUGGCAGAGGGGGGUAGAAUUCCACGUGUAGCAGUGAAAUGCGUAGAUAUGUGGAGGAACACCGAUGGCGAAGGCAGCCCCCUGGGUCAAGACUGGACGCUCAUGCACGAAAGCGUGGGGAGCAAACGAAGG
rnacentral:rRNA from 1 species